rnacentral:rRNA from 1 species
GAUCAUGGCUCAGGAUGAACGCUAGCUACAGGCUUAACACAUGCAAGUCGAGGGGCAGCAUGACGGAGGCUUGCUUUCGUUGAUGGCGACCGGCGCACGGGUGAGUAACGCGUAUCCAACCUGCCCUUGUCCAUCGGAUAACCCGUCGAAAGGCGGACUAACACGAUAUGCAGUUCUCAGCAGGCAUCUAACGAGAACGAAAUGUGAAGGAGAAGGAUGGGGAUGCGU